CGCACAUUGCACUCCUUGGUAUUCCGGGGAGUAUGCCUGUCCGAGCGUCAUUUCACCUCUCAAGCUCAGCUUGGUCUUGGAUCCUAUCGCUGAAAAGCGGUACUUCCGAAAAUGAGUGGCAGUCUGACCGAACUUCAGCGCAUUGAAACUAAAGUCGUCAAGAAGUUCUUUAAGUCUUGCCAGAAAACUAUUCAAAAUCUUGACCUCGGAUCAGGUAGGGAUACCCGCUGAACUUAA
rnacentral:misc_RNA from 1 species